CUGCCCAAUGACAACAUAGUUCAAUGGCCGCGGUACCCUGACCGUGCAAAGGUAGCAUAAUCACUUGCCCCUUAAUUAGGGGCUGGCAUGAAAGGACACACGAAAGCUUCCCUGUCUCACAAUAACAAAUAAAAAUUAAUCUUCAAGUGAAAAAGCUUGAAUAAAAUUGCAGGACAAGAAGACCCCGUUGAGCUUUAUUCUCUAUAGACUAAAUCAAAUAUUAAAUACAUCAUAAACCUAAAAAGAAUUUAGUUGGGGUGACUAAGGAACACCGAAAACUUCCUUUUAUUAAUUAGGAUCAUUCUCCAUACAAAUUGACCCAUUACACAUGAUCAAAAAAAUAAGCUACCACAGGGAUAACAGGCUAAUCUUUCUCAAGAGCCCAAAUUGUCAGAAAGGAUUGGCACCUCGAUGUUGGCUUAGGGGCCCCUAAUGGUGCAGAAGCCAUAAAUGGUAGGUUUGUUCAACCUUUAAAACCCUACGUGAUCUGAGUUCA
rnacentral:rRNA from 1 species